rnacentral:rRNA from 1 species
CCCAGACUCCUACGGGAGGCAGCAGUGGGGGAUAUUGCACAAUGGGGGGAACCCUGAUGCAGCGACGCCGCGCGGGUGAAGGAGCGUUUCGGCGCGUAAAGCCCUCUCGGCAGGGAAGAAGGAGGACGGUACCUGACUAAGAAGCCCCGGCUAACUACGUGCCAGCAGCCGCGGUAAUACGUAGGGGGCAAGCGUUAUCCGGAUUUACUGGGUGUAAAGGGGGCGCAGACGGCAGCGCAAGCCAGGAGGGAAAGCCCGGGGCCCAACCCCGGGACUGCUCUUGGAACUGCGCGGCUGGAGUGCAGGAGGGGCAGGCGGAAUUCCUGGUGUAGCGGUGAAAUGCGUAGAUAUCAGGAGGAACACCGGUGGCGAAGGCGGCCUGCUGGACUGCGACUGACGUUGAGGCCCGAAAGCGUGGGGAGCAAACAGGAUUAGAUACCCCAGUAA